rnacentral:piRNA from 1 species
UGGAAGUACAUCGGGUUGUUGAUAGAUGU